UUAUCAUCAACCCUUUUCUCAAUUCCAUGCGCUUUUCUCAGUUUUUGCGGUUUUGUUUGGAUUGCCAAAUUCCCGAAACCCUGCUGUUUUGAUAUCAAAUGAAGGCAAGAAGAUGGGUUGGGAAUCGUUUUGCUGAAAAACCCAUUUGUUUUGGUUGUGGUUUUGAACUGGGAAAAGCGGAUUUUGAACUGAUUUGCCAAAAAGGAACCUUUUAUUUUUUCCUUUCUGUUUUUGGGUGUUGGGAAACAAUGCAUUUUUAGUGAAACCCAUUUCUUGGAUGGUGUUUUUGGAUUGGGAGGAUUGGGCUUUGAAGUGGAUUACCAAAAGGGAACACUUUUUGGGGAGGGUGUAUUUCUUUGGAGAGCGAAAUAAGUGCUUCUGAAAUGGAGCAUAAUGGAGAAUCCAUCUUCUUUAGGGUUUGAUUCAGAUGAAAGCGACCCGGAUAUGCAAGCUGAAGCCUAUGAAGACCAUGAAAGAAUAGAAGAUAAGCUUCCAAAUAAUUUGGAUUUAUGUGCAGGUGAAGAUGACAAGAUAGUAGAACAAUCUGUUAUAAACAGGGAAGUGUUGGAACCAUACAUAGGAAUGGAGUUCAACUCAAGAGAUGAAGCUAGAGAGUUUUAUGUUGCCUAUGGUAGGCGUACUGGUUUCACUGUACGCAUACAUCAUAAUCGCCGUUCACGAGUAAACAAUCAGGUUAUUGGUCAAGAUUUUGUUUGUUCAAAAGAAGGUUUUCGUGCAAAGAAGUAUGUAUACAGAAAAGAUAGAGUUCUUCCUCCACCACCAAUCACCCGAGAAGGAUGUCAGGCAAUGAUAAGGCUUGCUCUAAGGGAUGGAGCAAAAUGGGUUGUCACCAAGUUUGUGAAAGAGCAUAGUCAUAAAUUAAUGAGUCCUAGUAAAGUUCCAUGGAGGGGAUCCGGAAAACAUUUAGUCAGUGAGGACGAGAAGGAUAAGAGAAUCAGAGAACUAUCCCUUGAGUUGAACAAUGAGAGGCAAAAAUGUAAACGACGGUGUGCUGCAUAUGAAGAACAGUUAAAUAUGAUUUUGAAAGAUUUGGAGAAACACACAGAACACAUGUCAAGAAAGGUUUCUGAUAUAGUACAGAGCAUAAGAGAAAUCGAGGAGGAACAAUCAGAAGACUCUGACAAAGAAUGGAGUUAGCUGAGCUCGUACCAUUUCUUCCUCUCCCUUUAUUUGCCUUUUUUCUCAAGAUGGGUGGAGAAAAUGGAAAAUAUUUAUUGGAACUAGCAGGAGACGAUGAAAUGUUAAACGAUGAAGUGGCUUUAUGAGAUUACUGCAGCACUUUGAGCUCAAAGAUUGAAGCAAAUCCCAACACCAAGACGAUGUUUCCAAUCGAGGGUAGGCAAAUCUUGGCUGCAAUUCUCACUAAAACCAAAUCUACAUGCAUUAAUCUUGAUUGAAAAGUUGCAUUCUAAAGUCUGAGGACUAUUUGCUCAGUUGGAUGUCUGUCUAUAAGGUGUACCAUAGUUUCCAUUGUGCUUCUCUUGUAUAUUUAAGAAUGGAGUAAGGGUUUUGGAAUAAAUGGAGAUAGGGUUUUCAGAUUUUUCUAUCA